UACGUCAUGGUAAUGCGGCCCAAAGGCCA
rnacentral:sRNA from 1 species